UAAGCAAGAGAGGGAGCAGGAGAAGAGGCAUCCGGAGGAGAAGCUCAGAGAGAAGGAGGAGCCGAAGAAAAGGUAGCAGAGAGAAAGAAAGGAAAUACUUACAGAGGAUAUAACAGAAAGGAGAAGUCAGUUGGGAGUUGCCCAGCCUGUUGUAGAACUGCACUCUGACUCUGGACUGGAACAGCAGCCUAAAAGGGGUAGAAAGAUAUCUUCCUGCACAGAAGCCAAAGACUCACUUUUGGAGGGUGCCAGAGAACUUGACGAAGGAGGCAAAAAGAAAGCCAAAGAUGGCAAAGACAGCAAGCCAACUGGCCAUGAUAAUUCUUUACUGCCACUGGAUGAACUGGAGAAAGAGCUGCUGAACAUCAACUCCUUUUCCCCCCCGCCUUUGAAGAUUUUGGACCUGAAUACUCGCUAUCAGCUUGCAUACCUCUCUGUGGAUUUGGCCCUCCUGGUUGAGGUUCUCUGUACUCCCUCUGACCUUUCUGGGUUUCCACCACUGUUGAGAUACAGGAUCAGUCCAGCUAAGGUGUAUGCGGAUGCUUCCACUCAAACUGAUCCCUGCCUGGUUAUCUCACCUGACAAUUCACCUGACCAUCAUGCUGAUGAUGACAUGACCUAUUCUGAUCCUGACUCUGUUCCCUUUUCCCCCAGUAGCCCUGGCUACACUCCUCCUUACCUGUCAGCACGUUCUGGUUCUUCCCCUGGUCACACGCCUUAUUAGCCCUUUUCACCUCUCAACUACUCUCCCACCAGUCCUG
ensembl:lncRNA